rnacentral:rRNA from 1 species
CUUCGGGGGAUGAGUAGAGUGGCGCCCGGGUGUAGUAACACGUAGGUAAUCUACCUUCGGGUGGGGAAUAACGCAGGGAAACUUGCGCUAAUACCGCAUAAUGCAGCGGCACCACAUGGUGACAGUUGUUAAAGCGGGGGAUUUUAGGACCUCGCGCCUGAAGAGGAGCCUGCGGCAGAUUAGCUGGUUGGUAGGGUAACGGCUUACCAAGGCGACGAUCUGUAGCCGGCCUGAGAGGGCGGUCGGCCACACUGACACUGACAUACGGGUCAGACUCCUACGGGAGGCAGCAGUCGGGAAUUUUGGGCAAUGGGCGAAAGCCUGACCCAGCAACGCCGCGUGAAGGAUGAAAUCCUUCGGGAUGUAAACUUCGCAAGAAUGGGAAGAAUUAGUAGGGGCUAAUACCCUCUAUGAUGACGGUACCAUUUGUAAGCUCCGGCUAACUCCGUGCCAGCAGCCGCGGUAAUACGGGGGGAGCAAGCGUUGUUCGGAUUUACUGGGCGUAAAGGGCGCGUAGGCGGUCAGCACAAGUCAGUUGUGAAAUCUCCGGGCUUAACUCGGAAAGGUCAACUGAUACUGUGCGACUAGAGUGCAGAAGGGGCAACUGGAAUUCUCGGUGUAGCGGUGAAAUGCGUAGAUAUCGAGAGGAACACCUGCGGCGAAGGCGGGUUGCUGGGCUGACACUGACGCUGAUGCGCGAAAGCCAGGGGAGCGAACGGGAUUAGAUACCCCGGUAGUCCUGGCCUUAAACGAUGGAUGCUUGGUGUCUGGAGUUUUAUAGUCUCCGGGUGCCGUAGCUAACGCGUUAAGCAUCCCGCCUGGGGAGUACGGUCGCAAGACUGAAACUCAAAGGAAUUGACGGGGACCC